rnacentral:rRNA from 1 species
AAUGAACGCUGGCGGCAUGCCUAACACAUGCAAGUCGAACGAAGGCUUCGGCCUUAGUGGCGCACGGGUGCGUAACGCGUGGGAAUCUGCCCUUGGGUUCGGAAUAACUCACCGAAAGGUGUGCUAAUACCGGAUGAUGUCGAAAGACCAAAGAUUUAUCGCCCAGGGAUGAGCCCGCGUAGGAUUAGCUAGUUGGUGAG